rnacentral:lncRNA from 1 species
AUCACCUUGAAUGGCCACCUAUAAGAAUAGAAACUGAAUUGUUGUAAUAAUUCGACUCUUCCUUCUCUACAGUUGCUCUGAGUUCCAGCAGUCCAGUGUCCACCACUCUCUUCUCAAGUCAAAGGAGAAAUACCAAGGAAGCAGAGAGUGGUGAGAAUUGAAGUUGAUGUAUGUGACUACAAGGAUUCCAUUCAAAGUGUAAUGAGAAGCCUUUGGAUGGUUUUAAGCAGAGAAGAGUAUAAUCCAAUUUCGGCCUUGACAAACAGCUAAAACAUAAGCAGAUGCUCAGCAGUCCCAUAGGAUCAGUAACAGCACAGCACCAUUGCCAAGCCACAUGGAAGCAUGAAGCAAAAGAAAACAUCAGUAAUAUUGAUUUUGUCUUAAUUUACAAUGUUAAUAUGUUGUUCAUCAUGGAUUUCCCACAUUAAUUUUGAUUUAAUAAAAUAUUACAUUAUCAUUUACCUUGAUU